rnacentral:rRNA from 1 species
CGGUAAUUCCAUCUCCAAUAGCGUAUACUAAAGUUGUUGCAGUUAAAAAGCUCGUAGUUGGAUUUCUGCGGGGACGGAGCGGCCGGACGCAACUUGCGUCUCGAGCUAGCGCUUUCCCCACAUCCUGCCGCGAACCGUGCUACCAUUAGCUUGGUGGCGCUGGGGAUCGGCUCGAUUACUUUGAGAAAAAUAGAGUGUUCAAAGCAGGCCACACGCCUUGAAUAAGUUAGCAUGGAAUAAUGAUUAAGGACUUCGGUUCUAUUUUGUCGGUGUUCGGGACUGAAGUAAUGAUUGAUAGGGACAGUUGGGGCGGUCUGUAUUCCAAAGCGAGAGGUGAAAUUCUUAGACCUUCGGAAGACAAACAGCUGCGAAAGCGUUCCGCAAGGAUGUUCCCUUUGAUCAAGAACGAAAGUUGGGGGAUCGAAGACGAUCAGAUACCGUCGUAGUCUCAACUAUAAACUAUACCAGCUAGGGAUCGGCCAACGUUUAACUCUAUCGACUUGGUCGGCACCUUAUGAGAAAUCAAAGCAUCUGGGUUCCGGGGGGAGUAUGGUCGCAAGGCUGAAACUUAAAGGAAUUGACGGAAGGGCACCACCAGGCGUGGAGCCUGUGGCUUAAUUUGACUCAACACGGGAAAAUUUACCAGGUCCAGACAUAGGAAGGAUUGACAGAUUGAUAGCUCUUUCUUGAUUCUGUGGGUGGUGGUGCAUGGCCGUUUUUAGUCGGUGAAGUGAUUUGUCUGCUUAAUUGCGUUAACGGACGAGACCCCAGCCUGCUAAAUAGCGCGGCCGAGCUUUGCUCGGUGCGAGCUUCUUAGAGGGACCAUGAUGCGCGAUAGCACAAGGAAGUUUGGGGCAACAACAGGUCUGUGAUGCCCUUAGAUGUUCUGGGCCGCACACGGGCUACACUGGCGCCUGCAACGAGCAUAUCAGCUGGCCCGAGAGGGUCUUGGCUAAUCUUUGGAACCGGCGCCGUGCUUGGGAUUGACCAUUGCAAUUGUUGGUCAUGCAACGAGGAAUGCCUUGUAAACGCGAGUCAUCAGCUCGCAUUGAAUACGUCCCUGCCCUUCGUACACACCGCCCGUCGCUCCUACCGAUGAAUGUUCCGAUGAAAUUUUCGGAGAGCGCCAGAGAACGGGGCUCUGCCUUGCAGAUCUGGAGGCUCAAAGUCACUUAAAUCUGAACAUUUCGAGGAAGGAGAAGUCGUAACAAGGUAACC